rnacentral:lncRNA from 1 species
UUUUUUUUUUUUUUUUUUUUUUUAAGUUUUUGUAGAGAAACAGUCAUGGUAUGUUGCCCAGGCUGGUCUUGAACUCCUCGACCCAAGCAAUCAUCUUGCCUCAGUCUCCUGAGUAGCUGGGGCUAUAGGAUUGUUCCACUGGUACCUGGCUUUGAGUGUUUUAAAACAACACUAAUUUAUUAGCUAAGUUUUAUAGAAGUUCAAAAUGGGUAUCUUUGGGCUCAGAAUGAGGGGCUGGCAGAGUUCUGUUCCUUCUGGAGGCGCCAGGGGAGACUCUGUUUCCCUGAUUUUUCCAGCCUCAAGAAGCUGCCCACAUUCCUUGACUGGUAGUUCUGGUCUCCUUUGGAGCGGCAGUGCCCCUUUCUGCCCUGCCCUUCUCUGCCCACCUCUCCUCUGCCUCCCUCCUGCACCCUGAAACACCCUUGUGGCAACGCUGGGCCCACCCGGAAGAUCCAGGGUCGCCUGCUUGCUUUCGGGUGAACUGGUUAGCGCCCUUCCUAACCUGCCACUUAACCCACUUAACCCAGCCUGCCCCAAGGUUCUGGGGAUUUGUGCACAAGUAUCUGUGGGAGGGGCAUUCUGCCUUCCACAGGGGCUGCCGGCACCUGGUGGGUAGAGGCGGGGGUGCUGUGCUGCUCAGGAUCCCGAAGUGCACGGGCAGCCCCAAACCACGAGGGCCCGGCAGGAAACCCUGGGGCAGAGGAGGGUUCGUGGGGCGGGAGCGCAUGUGAAGCCCACCUUGCAAGGAGAGGGGCACGCUCGUCUCGGGACGGCAGAGGGCGGGUCUCCGAGGCGCGUGGAAUCAAGGGGACGGAAGAAGCAGUCUCGGGAGUGGGAAGGCUCCUGGGAGGGGCGUGAGGAUCUCCCGAAGUAUCGCAGCAGCAGUGAGGUGCUUAGGCCGUCGCCCCGGCCGCCACUGCGCCUCCCUACCCGCAGGCCUCCGCAGCGCCACGGGCGGCCGCGCGGGGGUAGCGUUUGGGGGCUCCCGGGGACGCGAUCUCCGGCUCGCAGGUCCGCCCAGGGUUGGCCGCGUGGUCCCCCGGGCUUCCCACGCCUGAUUCGAAUUGUGAUUCCUGCUGGCUCCGGACCGAGCCGAGGCCGCUCCGGCACCACACAGGAGCCGCGCGGGCGGGG